GAUGAACGCUGGCGGCGUGCCUAAUACAUGCAAGUCGAGCGAACAGACGAGGAGCUUGCUCCUCUGACGUUAGCGGCGGACGGGUGAGUAACACGUGGAUAACCUACCUAUAAGACUGGGAUAACUUCGGGAAACCGGAGCUAAUACCGGAUAAUAUAUUGAACCGCAUGGUUCAAUAGUGAAAGACGGUUUUGCUGUCACUUAUAGAUGGAUCCGCGCCGCAUUAGCUAGUUGGUAAGGUAACGGCUUACCAAGGCAACGAUGCGUAGCCGACCUGAGAGGGUGAUCGGCCACACUGGAACUGAGACACGGUCCAGACUCCUACGGGAGGCAGCAGUGGGGAAUCUUCCGCAAUGGGCGAAAGCCUGACGGAGCAACGCCGCGUGAGUGAUGAAGGUCUUCGGAUCGUAAAACUCUUUUAUUAGGGAAGAACAAAUGUGUAAGUAACUAUGCACGUCUUGACGGUACCUAAUCAGAAAGCCACGGCUAACUACGUG
rnacentral:rRNA from 1 species